GGAGCGAUGAAACUCCAUGCCUAUCCCUCCCACUGCAGGGCGACACAGAGAGGGGAGCGAUGAAACUCCAUGCCUAUCCCUCCCACUGCAGGGCGACACAGAGAGGGGAGCGAUGAAACUCCAUGCCUAUCCCUCCCACUGCAGGGCGACACAGAGAGGGGAGCGAUGAAACUCCAUGCCUAUCCCUCCCACUGCAGGGCGACACAGAGAGGGGAGCGAUGGCGAUGAAACUCCAUGCCUAUCCCUCCUACUGCAGGGCGACACAGAGAGGGGAGCUAUGAAACUCCAUGCCUAUCCCUCCCACUGCAGGGCGACACAGAGAGGGGAGCUAUGAAACUCCAUGCCUAUCCCUCCCACUGCAGGGCGACACAGAGAGGGGAGCUAUGAAACUCCAUGCCUAUCCCUCCCACUGCAGGGCGACCCAGAGAGGGGAGCUAUGAAACUCCAUGCCUAUCCCUCCCACUGCAGGGCGACACAGAGAGGGGGCUAAGGAAUUCCUUGUCUGUGCCUCCAACUGCCGGGUGAUGGUCUGUGCUGUUGGACAUAUUACAGAAAAAAAUAGUAUAUAACAGUAUAGCUCCAAUUGUGAAUUUACAAAUUCAUAUACAAAAAUCACAGCUGGUCCUGUCUAUAUUAUUCAGUAGGAAGAGAGACCCAAGGCAGUCUCCCUACCGAGCUGAUCUAGGUAACACUAGACUGAUGAAAUCUAUUCUGCCCAAUUAAAAUGACUUUGUGCCGGCUUCUAGAAUACAUAUGGUUAGGCUGUACAGUCCUAGUGUAUAUGGAGUUUUGUUAGAUAUAUAGUGUAAUGUAUAUAAUGUAGUCCCUUUUCUUUGUGACUAAAAAAGCUUUCCUCCUAUUAUCUGAUAGACAAGCACGAUUGACCUUGUUGAAUGGGACAUUGCCGAGGUAUUAUAGUGCAAAAAGUAGCACGUUUGCCUUGGAAAUCUUUCUGCAUUUAUUUGAGAGAUAUAUAAUCCUGUAUCCUGUGCUUAUUGUGUCUUGGUGUUUCUUGUGGUUGAUACACAAACCGGUUAGUGUUUACAUCAGACAUUGCCUUGGAAUCUUAUUUCAUAUUUAUAUUUGAAACUACCGGUAGUCACUUUUUAAGUCUCUUUUCCUACCAACUAAAUUUUGCUGUCAUUUCUGAAAUGUAUAAUUUUGAGAAUAAAGGAAGAAUUUAGGCGAGAUAUUGUGACACUUAUUAUUUAGACUAGUAAAUACACCAUUAGAUGGCGCUGUGUUCCACAACGUCCAGGUUGGAGUGCAGUAACUGUGACUGGGCGGGCUGACGGAGAGUAAAUACACCAUUAGAUGGCGCUGUGUUAAACAACGUCCAGGUUGGAGUGCAGUAACUGUGACUGGGCGGGCUGACGGAGAGUAAAUACACCAUUAGAUGGCGCUGUGUUAAACAACGUCCAGGUUGGAGUGCAGUAACUGUGACUGGGCGGGCUGACGGAGAGUAAAUACACCAUUAGAUGGCGCUGUGUUACACAACGUCCAGGUUGGAGUGCAGUAACUGUGACUGGGCGGGCUGACGGAGAGUAAAUACACCAUUAGAUGGCGCUGUGUUAAACAACGUCCAGGUUGGAGUGCAGUAACUGUGACUGGGCGGGCUGACGGAGAGUAAAUACACCAUUAGAUGGCGCUGUGUUACACAACGUCCAGGUUGGAGUGCAGUAACUGUGACUGGGCGGGCUGACGGAGAGUAAAUACACCAUUAGAUGGCGCUGUGUUCCACAACGUCCAGGUUGGAGUGCAGUAACUGUGACUGGGCGGGCUGACGGAGAGUAAAUACACCAUUAGAUGGCGCUGUGUUAAACAACGUCCAGGUUGGAGUGCAGUAACUGUGACUGGGCGGGCUGACGGAGAGUAAAUACACCAUUAGAUGGCGCUGUGUUCCACAACGUCCAGGUUGGAGUGCAGUAACUGUGACUGGGCGGGCUGACGGAGAGUAAAUACACCAUUAGAUGGCGCUGUGUUCCACAACGUCCAGGUUGGAGUGCAGUAACUGUGACUGGGCGGGCUGACGGAGAGUAAAUACACCAUUAGAUGGCGCUGUGUUAAACAACGUCCAGGUUGGAGUGCAGUAACUGUGACUGGGCGGGCUGACGGAGAGUAAAUACACCAUUAGAUGGCGCUGUGUUACACAACGUCCAGGUUGGAGUGCAGUAACUGUGACUGGGCGGGCUGACGGAGAGUAAAUACACCAUUAGAUGGCGCUGUGUUCCACAACGUCCAGGUUGGAGUGCAGUAACUGUGACUGGGCGGGCUGACGGAGAGUAAAUACACCAUUAGAUGGCGCUGUGUUAAACAACGUCCAGGUUGGAGUGCAGUAACUGUGACUGGGCGGGCUGACGGAGAGUAAAUACACCAUUAGAUGGCGCUGUGUUCCACAACGUCCAGGUUGGAGUGCAGUAACUGUGACUGGGCGGGCUGACGGAGAGUAAAUACACCAUUAGAUGGCGCUGUGUUACACAACGUCCAGGUUGGAGUGCAGUAACUGUGACUGGGCGGGCUGACGGAGAGUAUAUCAGUCUAUAAGAAGGUCCAUAAUCAGCGGGCAGGAGAUAAGGUCUCAAACCUCUCUACAAGCCACUUAAUCUUUACCACAAGUAAACGGUGGAGAUGGAACUGGCUGGCCAAUCCUGGUUAAAUUAAAGCUGAAGUCAGAAACAUAAGAGGGAGCUUCUGUCAUAGUUAAAUGGUCUCCCAUCCGCAAACUGAUCCCGCUUCAUGUUUAUGCCCAUUUGCUCUAUAAACAUGAUGCAUUCUGGUCAAGGGAUAUACUUCUCAAUAAUGCAUAAAAAUAUACAAUCUACAAUUUUACCACAUGACCGGAGACUUCAUAUUUUGCAUAUCUCUCUUUACUGAAAACUCCAGCAGCACAGAUCAUAAACAGAACGACCAAUCAAAACACAGCUAGAUAUUUCAUAAAAGGCCCUGCCAGUCUAAGCUCCUCCUCUUUCGUUGCUGCUCCUGCAUGCACAGGUCAGAAUAUUUUGUCCUUGUGCCCUCUUUUUGAAAUAAACUUAUUUUUAUAUUG